UACGUAGGUGGCAAGCGUUGUCCGGAAUUAUUGGGCGUAAAGGGCGCGUAGGCGGCACCCUAAGUCAGAUGUGAAAACCCGGGGCUUAACUCCGGAGGUGCAUUUGAAACUGGGGAGCUUGAGUGCAGGAGAGGUAAGUGGAAUUCCUAGUGUAGCGGUGAAAUGCGUAGAUAUUAGGAGGAACACCAGUGGCGAAGGCGACUUACUGGACUGUAACUGACGCUGAGGCGCGAAAGCGUGGGGAGCAAACAGG
rnacentral:rRNA from 1 species